CUGAAACAAGAAACUUCUCGGGUAUCAAGCAACCAUACGCAGCUGCAUCUUGACUAAUAACUUGUAUGCUUUGGAAAGUUUUACUGCUGUUUAUUAACAUUCGUGGUAUUACGUUCUACCAUACACGAAACUCGAUAAUAGCAUUUAGUAACCAUCAACAUGACAUGAUUUUAAAAUACUAUAUCGGUAAGAAACUACAAUAACAUCGGUUGAAUAUAACAAAGUGUUAACUUACAUUGUUAUUUUUUUACUUAACGAAUUAUCUCGUGUCCGUUGAUUUUUACGUUCAUCACAUCACUUUGGGAACAUUUCCUAUUGGAAUUUUAUUACUACCGGCAUUAUUUUCCAAAAACAAAACAAAAAAAUACGUACUAAUUUCGUCACUGAAGAUCAGCAAAUACAAAUAUAAUACUUCAAAUUCGUCUGUUUAAAAUUCUGUAAUUAUUUCUUCAAUGCGAGAACCAACGCGAGCGAGCCACCAAAUUUUUUCUAUAAAAAUCCCUCAAAUUUAUAACCAUACAAAAUAUGAACGGGCUAUUUGUAUCUCGUAUUACGUUCUCUGUUCAAUUUUUGUUUUUUCUAGAAAUCCAUCAGUUUUUAAAUGUUUUCUCGUCGGCGGUUUUUGCGAGAGAAAAAUAUCAUUUGUGUAAACCUACACGGGACGAUUUAUAUAUUUUUUAUUGAUAAAAACCGACGUUUCAUCCGCAAAUGGCUCAAAGACCAUUCGAUCUGUACUUGAUGGAAAAAUUCGAGAUUCGGGGACAAAGGAAGAAGAGAGUCGCUUCGUAAACCGCGACAUUUUCGAAACAUUCCCGCAGUAGAGAGAACGCGUAUGUAAUCAGAUAUAUAGGUAAAGGAAGUAGCUGUGAGACGAGUGCACCAACACACAGAGACAUAGUGUGCGCGUACAAACCAGUGAUAAGCUGAAGUAGGUUCGAACGUUCAUCGACCGAAUGUUUCAGAAAAAUCUCCGUAAAUGCCCCGGAGAAAAGAAGCAACGUUUUCAGGCAGACUCGAAUCUAAACGCGACAGAUUCAAACUCUUUACGAGUACGUUGGAAAAUACUAUAAAAAAAGUGUUUUCCAAUGAAAAUGAAACACUGGUCGAAUACAUGCGAAACUUUAUGAAAUUCUUGCUAGAAAUUCUCCAUUCGCUUAAAAUCAUUUUCCUCGGCUAUCAUCUAUCUAUAUAUACUGGGUAGCCCAUUUAACUUUAUAAGUAUAGAAUAUCGCUUCGCAUCUUUCCUUGUUUUUCAUAUAUUAAGUUUUGCAAAAUUAAAGUUGACAUAUCUGCUAAAAUGUCUGCUCAUAGCUCUUAAUUAAUUUUAAUUAAGCUUAAAUAGGUUAACAUUUUUUUGUGGACAAUAUCCAGUUGGAUCAAAUUAAGAAAUACAUAAAUCCAUUAAGAACAACAUCAAUGACUCUUAUACGCCUUCUGUGCCUUCACCUACGGAAAAUAUAAUCAUGUCACGUUAUGUCUCUCUCGAAAUCACUCAACUUGUACCUGAAAUACUUUUUAAUAUUAUCAGAAACAAACAAGAUAUUCCAAGUAAUAAAGUUAAGCAAAUUAUUCCUGAUAAUAUAAUGCAAAAGUAAUUGAUCUACUCAUCAACGCAAAACCCAAGCCGCUGUACCUAGAAACGUCAAAUUUGGACAGUAUACUUCUUUUAUGACGUAAGCGUGGAAUAAAAAGGGAUUUUUGGAAAUAAGGAACCGAACAGUAAAAGGGUAACAAGGAGGUAAAACAUUUUUAUAGAAUAACAGCAUCUCUAUGCCCUUUAAAGCCAUUCGAAACUCCUCAUAUAAACUUCUCAUUAAAAAUAAACAAACACACGUAUCACGUUUGUCGACAUUCAACUCCUAAAAAGUGUUCAAACAGAAGGCAAUAAACAUGAACUGAAAUACUGUGCGGAUGAAAUCGCCGGCGGGCAGCUAGUUUUUAAACAAUUACAAAUGCAAACGUUGCAAUAGAAUUUAUAGGUUCGUCGUGCAUAAUUUUCCUAAAUUUGUUAGAAGAAAUUCAACAGAGACGUUGGUGUGCUUCUUCCUGACCCUUGUGAUUCAAUUGUUACUUGUAAGGGGUUCGAUCCAUUCGAGUAUCAAAGUAGUUAUAAGCAGAUUAUCGAAACUUGCAAGUACUCGUCCUGAGGUUCGAAACCGGCUUGUGAAGAUCGAAUACUUGGCGAGUACGGCGAACAAACUAUUGCACUGUAAGAUGAAACAUAUUCAGCCGAUCGGGCCUUGCUGGGCCGAGGAUUCGAACCCAGGAUUUUCCGCUUGUCGGGCAGAUGAUUUCCAAAUUAAGCUAUUUAAGCUGUCGGCGAAUAUUUUCUCCCAAAUUUUUACAUGUCGCUAGGUAGCCGCCUACAGUAUCUUGCGAGUAGCAUCCAAAUUCCGAGAAGUGAAUAUUGGGCAUCGUAUUUGAAUCGGAUUUAUAAUAUUAUACAUUAUUUAUUUGUAUUUGUUUGUUUUAUUUUUUUAUUGUUAUAAUUUUAUUUAUUGCAUUUAUGUAUUGCAUUUAUAAUAAUAUACAUAUUGAACUCAGUCCCAUCGCUGAUACAAGCCAUAUUGAACGCCAUAAAUGCACGUUGAAGAUGGGUUCGUAAAGGACAGUAGCCAGAGUAGAUAGAGAUGUGUACAUAAACCCGUGCACGGCCGAAGCGUAUACAAAGCUCGCGCAUGCAUGCAAAUACAGGUGAAUGCAAAGCGCGUGGCGCAACUACGAAAGCAUGUUUUUGUAACAUAAAGCAUCGGUUUGUAGAUAAACGUAUAUGCUUACGUAUGUUUGGGCCACAGCUUGCAAUACACACGCGUUCGAUUUCGGGCAAGUUCAUAUAUCGGGCCGUUUCAAGUCGGAAAAUAGAGAGAGAAACACAUACGAACGUAUAAACCCCAUCGACUGAAAGAUCCUUGUGCUCCUUGCUUGCGGUCGCGCUGCAUGAGCAAAUAAAAUAGCGCUCGAUGCAGUAUCGAUAACACCGGCGGCGUCGUAAAUUCACGAUGAAUCCUAUUCGAAGAAUUGGAAAGUGAUUUGUUAUUCCCUUUUGGGGUAUCGCUUCGUACAGAGAACGCAUCGUUAACCAGUCUGCUUUAGAAAAUCUGAGCUGAUGCAUGUACCGCUUAAUUGCUAAUUACAAUUGUGCCAUAGCUUGUGCAAAAGGGAAUUAAUGAAGUUUACAGUCUAUUAGUUUUACUUUAUUUUUAGUUUAGUUUUAGGUCUUCUUUUUUAUUUUUCAGACAAUUUAUUCGGAUGGUAUAGAAAACUUAUAGUACGUGCAGUGGCACAUGAGAAGAUUCGAAUCGGGAGAGACUCCUAGUGUUGUGCCUUGGAGUGCUAACAUUGUUUUGGUUUGCUAGGUUCAAAGGUGAACAAACUCCGGACAAAACAUUAUCGCUGUUAUUUUUAAUCGUCAACCGGAGUUACAUUUGAACUUUUUGUAAUACCGCCGGUCGAUACAAAUAGACGAACAUACUCCCUAGGACAACCAUUAUAACGAAUCAUAGAGUAGAAUAGCGUAGAGUUAAACAAUAGCAUUGAGCGAGCGACGAUUACGACCGGCAUACACUAUCUCUGUACUUAAUGUGAUUUUAAUAUACACUGACUAUUACAAUUUUAUCACUCAUCUCUUUAAUAAAUCAACAAGUAUAAUAAUCCACGACAUACGUAAACUGAAGGAAACUUUCAAGACAAUGCAUUUUUAUCGCGUUAUUAUGCAAUUAUAUGUUUGGAGUUAGGAUUUUAUGCAGUUGCUUGUUGAUUUGUCAAGUAACAUCGCUUUUCCGAAAUAAUGAUGAAAUGGAACCUAAAUAAGAACACGUUCCACCUACUUUGAACAUUUUACAUGGAUAUUAAGCGUUUCGUAAACACUUAGUUAAAUCAUUAAAAAGCGACACUAGAUAUUUGCCCAUCUAUCCAAUAUACACUGUACAUGUUCCUAUAUUUCAUUGAUAUUACGAUAUCUUAUCCUUCCAUAAUAUGGAAAUAUUUCCAUGGAAAAGAAAAACACAAUCCUGAAAAUAUGAAGAGAUAUUGCUGGUUUUCUAAAGAAACAUUUCAUUCAAGAAAAAAUUUUCUCCAUCAAGAGAGGAGGUCUUGUAGAAACUUCCUACUGCCCUGUACAACUAUCUUUCGUGACAAAAAAGAAAUUAUUACGUCCAAUAAAAUAUUGCGCAGUGCAUAAAGAAAAAGAAGUAAUACAGUAAACACAGUACUCUUGUCAGUAUUGUAAUAUUCUACUAUACGUGCUAUCAUGUUAUUUCACAUUUUAUACAAAAAAAAAAAGACAAAAUAUAAAAACGUUUUUGAGAAAUUAAAAUAAAUAUUACCUGUCCUUUUCUAUACAAAUAAUAAGUAUCACAGAAAAAGUGCGCAAAUAUAAUGUAAUGUUUGUAAAAAUUGAAUAGUAUGGUGUAGUAUAUCUCCGUCUAUUGCAGCUCGCGAGGCAAAAUAUAUAAAAUUCGCAUGGCAGUCAGUGCGUUAACAUGUCAUGUAUGUACAGUAUGCGAUGUAGAAUCGGAAACAGCAGGAUUUGCCUUUUUCAAAACUGUUCAAUUUUCUUCGCAGUCAUAAACGAGAGAACGAAAUCGUUCGCGAUAAAGAUUCAACAGCAUCAACCAGCGAACAUCAGCCUGCCUCUAUGAUUUACGACUCGGUGACGCUCUUAUCGGGACAGCCUGCUGUUUACAGCGCGAUUCCGUAAGCGCCGGUACAAACGGCGGCGUUACGCUCCGUCGAAAACUCAUAAAAUCACAAUAUAAAUUACGGGACAAUAGGCCAGCAGAUACCAUGAGGAAACCAUUGUAUCGCCAGCAGCCAGGUAACAAUGGUCCACUGGGACAAUAAUAUGCCAGAGAGGGAUGUAAUUAUCUUUGGUGCACGAGAUACUCGGCAUUGUCACGCGAAUGUCUAUCCGACCGCUAUUCGAGGCGUCGGAGAUCCGUCAAACGAUGAAAGAUCCGCGCCGGUUUCAAAGUUUCCCCAUGGAAGUUUCAUCGAUCGUGGUUACCUACGUACAGGCAAAUUAAUCCUCGUAUUAAUCGUCAAGUAACAAUCGAUCCUCUUCACACGAUUCCUUUUCGCAUUUGAUUCUUAUUCAACCUUCUUAUAGAAAUUGACCAUAUCACGAUACGUUACUGCUUACAUGCAAUACUAAUGCGACAGAGUUUUUUAUUUCGGAACUAAUUCAUAUAGAUGUUUCUAAAGUAGAAAACGACAAGGUUAAAUGACAUCGUUGUGAUGCAUUCUACUUUAGCGAUAGGGAAAAACGAGAGUAUCGAUGUCUUGUACUAUCGCGUUUCGCGUUUCCGUUCGAUGGAAGACGCUUUAACUCCUGUGUAUACCAUCAAGUUCUAGGGUUUUCAGAGGAAAUUGUUUUAUCGGCGAUCGCUGUUACCCUAUUGCCAACGAUAAGAGAGAACUGUUCGUAUAAGUGAAUAAUGACAUGCAUGACGACCAUGGAUGAAAUGGACGAUCGAGUUGGAACGAAUACCAAGUUGUUUUUAAGUGAUUUUAUUGUUUGCACGAUUCACUGGAACUUUCCUCUCUGUACCAUAUGUAUAGAAAAUGAAGUUAUUGGAAUCAGUUGACGCGAGUUUGCUUAUAAUUGCGAAGGUGAUACAACAUAUUGAUAUACGCUGAGAAAAGAAUAUUUUUUAAACAGGCUUUAAGAUCACGUUUCAAGGAUGUAGAUAUGUCUCUACACAAGAAUUUAAGUGGAUGAGUGAAAGAGACAGGGAAAACAGAGAAAAGUGAAAUGUGUGCGUGCUGCAAUAAAUGCUUGCGGAAAAUGUGUACACGACUAGAUAAAAGUUGGCGGUUGAGUUCCGAAUUCAAAGUUGAGAGGCACAGAGUUUCUGGGAGAAUCGAGAGCAAGAGCUUUUGAGUGUGAAUUCAAUGGAGAGUUUAACAGAACGAGAAUGAUAACAGAGAAGCAAUUUCGGCCCAAAAUUUUAAUCUUGGAGUGAGACGCUUACGUACUUUCGGAGUACGCAGCACGUGAAACAAUUCGAUAAAAAGAAAUUUCCCUGCGAUUUUGCGAUGAAGUGUUGAAAACGGGACGACAAAUAUCUGCGUAUCGACGGGAAACAGGAAUUUUCGUUUAACCCCUUUCGGAUCGUCAAUAACGUUCAAUGGACUCUGUAAAAGUGGAUUUCACAUUAAACCUCAAUUUUCCAGACACGCAAGAUAAAGUAAUCGCAUCGAGGGAUAAAUGAAAACUUGUUCAGCGAAUCACCGACUAUGUUACACACACCAAAAUGAGAGAAGACUCGUAUUACUUUUUUUUUUUUUUAUAUUUGCUAAGUUUUAUCUUAUUUAUUUAUUAUCAUAUUUCUCCACCCAUACAUACUACAUGUGUUUGUGAAUAUGUUUCUUAAUCUACGGUGCAUCUUGAUGAAUAAGUAAAAUUUAUUUUCAACUUACGAACUUACGUAAAACUAUUUCAGCCAAUACGAUAUGUUUGCUAGUUAUAUUUCGUGAUAUAUUUCCAGAGUAUAUAAUUACUUUGCAUAAAUAAUCGUAUUAGUUGUAGUAAAUUACUAAAUUGUAAAUUUUUCAUAUCGAGGCAUAGCGUCUGUGUGUCGUUACGGCAAAUUUAUUUUAUGCGGAGAAACAUAAAUAUAAUAAUUACAAAUUUAUACCGAAGGAAAAAAUAUCAUUACUCAUAUCGCAUAGAAGAUGAAAAUUCUGACGAAAUUAAAGUUGCAACUAUAAAAUUAUUUUAGUGAAUUCGUAGCAGGGAAUAUGCUUUCACUGCGAGAUAUUUAUAUACAAAAUGAAUAUAUUCUCAUUCAUGUCGAACAUCAAAAUGUUACGUUCAUACUUACAACGAUUAAAGAUAACUCGAACAAAGCGUCUAAUUUCUCCCGUGGGAAUAGUCACGUAAAGCGACAACGUUGUAAAUUGUACUUACUUCAAACAUCGUCGUGUUCUCGUAUGCAUGGGAUUCUGCAUCGACCAUACGAGACACAGUAAUUAUUAUUAACUGUUCACAAGCUCAUUAUACAGUUGUCACAUAGACCAUGUCGAAUCUCUUACAAGAGAAUUCUAGUUAGUCAACUCGCCUCGCGUCCAGUUCGCCAUUUAGUCGUUUAAGCUAUUAAUUACACGUAGACAAUUUUAAGGGCUCAUUAUACGCCCUGUCAGUAUUUCAGUCCUGUUACCUUAAUUAAGAAGGAGUUAUUCGAUGAAAAUUAACCAAUUCCAAGACUUCAAUCGGACGAGGUCUAACGAGGAACAUUCUUGUUCCCAACUUUUAUAAAUCCACGCACUUCAUUUAUUUUAUGCUUUUAAUAGACUGUCGUUAAAUAAAUGCUAGAUCGUUUUUCAAUGAAAUUUUUGCUUCUUUCGGAAAUCGAUAAAUUUGAUUGACAUUUAACUUAAAACCGUUCAAGUAUGUUUUACUCUCAGAUAUUCUUUUUUCCCAAAAUAUCACUUUUAUGAACAUCUGUAUUACGCGUGUUAUAUGUAGGAAGCCAUCAUAUUCAUGUUGAGAAAAUUUGAAACGAAACUAAAUAUAAAAGAUAGAAAAUAUUUUCUAUCCUGUCGUAUCUUUAUAGAAGAUACAGGUAUAAUAAUACAAGUAUAAUAAUACAAAUAUACUGUAUGCUGUAAGUACACUGUGUAGUAAUAAAAGUAUAAUAAUACAAGUAUACAUUCUGUAAAGAUCAUUAAACUACGUAAAUAGCCAAUUAUUCAUUAUAUCAAUAAGUCACAAUAUCUAGUGAGAUCAUAAUUAGCACCAAUUAUAUGUUUCAGACCACUAUUCAUGUUGUACAUUACAUUUUA